rfam:Capsicum annuum cultivar Zunla-1 unplaced genomic scaffold scaffold454, whole genome shotgun sequence
GAUGAUGAUGAGGGAAAUUUCUAAGCAUACCCUAAAAUCUCUCCAAAGCUUGGUAGAGAUUUUCUCCAUCUUUUUUUCUAAAACUUAAGAUUUCACUCCUAGC